GGUUUGAAUCAUGGCUCAGGACGAACGCUGGCUGCGUGCUUAACACAUGCAAGUCGAACGCUGAAGCCGACAGCUUGCUGUUGGUGGAUGAGUGGCGAACGGGUGAGUAACACGUGAGUAACCUGCCCCUGAUUUCGGGAUAAGCCUGGGAAACUGGGUCUAAUACCGGAUAUGACCAAUCUUCGCAUGAGGGUUGGUGGAAAGUUUUUCGAUCGGGGAUGGGCUCGCGGCCUAUCAGCUUGUUGGUGGGGUAAUGGCCUACCAAGGCGACGACGGGUAGCCGGCCUGAGAGGGCGACCGGCCACACUGGGACUGAGACACGGCCCAGACUCCUACGGGAGGCAGCAGUGGGGAAUAUUGCACAAUGGGGGAAACCCUGAUGCAGCGACGCAGCGUGCGGGAUGACGGCCUUCGGGUUGUAAACCGCUUUCAGCAGGGAAGAAGCGAAAGUGACGGUACCUGCAGAAGAAGUACCGGCUAACUACGUGCCAGCAGCCGCGGUAAUACGUAGGGUACGAGCGUUGUCCGGAAUUAUUGGGCGUAAAGAGCUCGUAGGUGGUUGGUCACGUCUGCUGUGGAAACGCAACGCUUAACGUUGCGCGUGCAGUGGGUACGGGCUGACUAGAGUGCAGUAGGGGAGUCUGGAAUUCCUGGUGUAGCGGUGAAAUGCGCAGAUAUCAGGAGGAACACCGGUGGCGAAGGCGGGACUCUGGGCUGUAACUGACACUGAGGAGCGAAAGCAUGGGGAGCGAACAGGAUUAGAUACCCUGGUAGUCCAUGCCGUAAACGUUGGGCACUAGGUGUGGGGGACAUUCCACGUUCUCCGCGCCGUAGCUAACGCAUUAAGUGCCCCGCCUGGGGAGUACGGUCGCAAGGCUAA
rnacentral:rRNA from 1 species